rnacentral:lncRNA from 1 species
GGGCCCUGAUUUUGUUCCUAUUUUAGCACAUAUAGGAAAUUGUCAACACAGUACAUAGCAUAAAACUUGAAGCAGUGUAAGCAAAUGGAAUUAAUUCAACAAAUUAAUACAGCCCAUAGAUAAAUAGGUUUAACACCGUGGGCGGAUGCAUAUAGUGUUAGAAUAGCAACUAACUCUGUAAAGAUACGGCAAAUGACCGUAAUCAACUUGGC